UACGAAGGGGGCUAGCGUUGUUCGGAAUUACUGGGCGUAAAGGGCGCGUAGGCGGCCUUCUAAGUCGAACGUGAAAUCCCCGGGCUCAACCCGGGAACUGCGUCCGAUACUGGAAGGCUUGAAUCCGGGAGAGGGAUGCGGAAUUCCAGGUGUAGCGGUGAAAUGCGCAGAUAUCUGGAGGAACACCGGUGGCGAAGGCGGCAUCCUGGACCGGCAUUGACGCUGAGGCGCGAAAGCCAGGGGAGCAAACGGG
rnacentral:rRNA from 1 species